rnacentral:rRNA from 1 species
GAUGAACGCUGGCGGCGUGCCUAAUACAUGCAAGUCGAGCGAACGGACGAGAAGCUUGCUUCUCUGAUGUUAGCGGCGGACGGGUGAGUAACACGUGGAUAACCUACCUAUAAGACUGGGAUAACUUCGGGAAGCCGGAGCUAAUACCGGAUGAUAUUUUGAACCGCAUGGUUCAAAAGUGAAAGACGGUCUUGCUGUCACUUAUAGAUGGAUCCGCGCUGCAUUAGCUAGUUGGUAAGGUAACGGCUUACCAAGGCAACGAUGCAUAGCCGACCUGAGAGGGUGAUCGGCCACACUGGAACUGAGACACGGUCCAGACUCCUACGGGAGGCAGCAGUAGGGAAUCUUCCGCAAUGGGCGAAAGCCUGACGGAGCAACGCCGCGUGAGUGAUGAAGGUCUUCGGAUCGUAAAACUCUGUUAUUAGGGAAGAACAUAUGUGUAAGUAACUGUGCACAUCUUGACGGUACCUAAUCAGAAAGCCACGGCUAACUACGUG